rnacentral:rRNA from 1 species
GUCGCCUGUCCUACAAAACCCUAGCCUCUCCCUCCUCGCCGCCUCCUUCAACUGCCUCCUCUCAUCUCACGGAAACAAAUAGGGGAAAACCAACCAGAGAGCUUCGCCCAGCGCGCGAUGGGGAAGAAGAAGGAGCGGUCAGUGAAUGUGUCGGGCAAGCCCCGUCACUCUCUCGACGUCAACCGCCCCAAUGACAAGAAGGGUGCUGGCGGCGACGGCGGCGCCGGCGGGAGCCGGUCCGCGGCCACGGUGCGGCGGCUCAAGAUGUACAAACUAAGGUCAGUGAGGGACCGCGGUGGGAAGAUCGUCAAGCACGAUCUCCAGUCCAAGGAGCUCCCCAACACCUGCAUCGAGCCUGACCGCCGGUGGUUCGGAAAUACACGAGUUAUCAAUCAGAAAGAACUUGAAUAUUUCAGGCAAGAACUCCAGGCACGGCUUACAAAUAACUACAGUGUGUUACUAAAAUCUAAACAUCUGCCACUAUUGCUUCUGCAGGAUCAUCAGAAGCAAGCUCGUGCACAUCUUCUUGACACUGAGCUUUUUGAGCAUGCCUUUGGACCAAAGGGCAAGCGUAAACGACCACAACUAUCCAGUCUCGAUUAUGAAUCUCUAAUAAAGAAAGCUGAUGAUUCUCAAGAUGCGUUUGAGUAAAAACAUGCUUCAUCAAAGUUGCCAAAGGAUGAAGAGGAAGAUGGCUUAAGGGAUCUAGUCAGGCAUAAUAUGUUUGAGAAGGGACAAAGCAAAAGAAUUUGGGGUGAACUUUAUAAAGUUCUAGACUCUUCAGAUGUUGUUGUGCAGGUGUUGGAUGCCAGGGAUCCAAUGGGCACGAGAUGCUACCAUCUGGAGAAACAUCUGAAGGAGAAUGCCAAGCACAAACACCUGGUAUUCUUACUAAAUAAGUUGUCAUUGGAUCUUGCUAGUCAUUGAACUUGACGAGGGAAAAGCUACAUUAUUGGACUCAAUAAAGGAAACAAAAUAAAUAUACUACUUGAACGUUAUUGGGAUGCUCGACAGUGCAUGAGGCAGGCGCAGGGGACUAAUUUAUGUGGCUACGUAGUUUGCGAGAACAUUCGCAUGAAGACGUCCGAAAGGAAGCUAGCGGACAAAAACUUUCAGUUGCUCCAGAUGCGCGAUCAGCUCCUAGAAGAUGACCGCAUGAAAGCACUUCAAGAGGAAAUAGUGGAAUUUUUCCUCGAGCAGGUCAUAGAUCCCAAUGGAGAAUACUAUUACCCGCUGUAAUGCCUGCAUUGUAAUGGUCUGCAAAUUGUAGGAGAAAUUUUAUGUACCAAGUUGCAUGUGAAUGCAUGCAUGGUCGAAUUCGAUGAUGUGAUAUAUAUAUAUAUAUAUUUGAUCGGUUCUAUGAGAAAUUCU